GUGUUUGCCUGGCUACUGUUACUCAGUAAGGAAGAUGGAGAAGCCCAAAGGCAAGGAGCUAAACAAGGGGCAGAGAAGGAAGUGCACCUCUUAUGCUUUCUGUUGCCAUACAAAAUCUGUGUUUUUGUCUAUUUUCUUUUGAUUUGUUUUAUGCUUGUAGAUAGAGUAUGUGGUAUUUGGAGAAAUACCUAGCGAUCUUUCUGGUACUUUGGUCUUCUCUAACCAUGCCUUGAGACGGCUGCAAGAACGAAUCCGUGAGCUCCAGGAGGAAAAUUCCAAGCAGCAAAAACUUAACAAAGAAUGGAGAGAGAGACGUAAACAGCUCAUCCGAGAAAAGAGAGAAAUGACAAAAACCAUACACAAAAUGGAGGAAACAGUCCGGCAGCUCAUGAUCAGCAAGUUUGGCCGUGUGGUAAAUCUAGAAGCCCUUCAAACACUUUCUGUUAAUACAACACUUGAAGAACUGAAGAUCAGAAAACUUCGAAAGGAGCUAGCAAAUGCGAAAGAGAUGAAGAUGUGGGAGGAAAAGAUUGCUCAAAUGCGAUGGGAACUGAUGAUGAAGACAAAAGAACACACCAGAAAGCUUUAUCAGAUG
rnacentral:sRNA from 1 species